UCGAUACACUGCUACAUAAUUCAUCCGAGUGUAUCUUUGACAGAUAUGUUUGUUUACAAGUUGUAGGCGUAAGAGCAGUGGAAUUGAAUCGCAAAAUUGUGGAUUAAAUACCGUCUUUCACAGGAUUAUACGACUAAAUAUGGAUUGGAGCAACGAAUUGAUAUUGGAUUUCAUUCAAUUGUACGAAAUGCAUCCAAUUCUUUGGGAUCCUAGACACAAAUACCAUAAGAAUCGGAACCGAUUGUUCGAUGCUUGGCAAAAUAUUGCGAAUAACAUAGGGAUUAUUGUAACUGUGGAAGGAUUAAGGAAAAAGAAAGAAUCGCUGAUGGCUAGGUAUAGAGCUUUGUCGAAAAAAGUUCGCUUAUCGUCUUCGUCCGGAUCCGGGGCAAAGGAUGUAUAUGUACCGUCAUGGUUUGCAUAUGCAGCAAUAGAUCGUUUCAUUAAGGCCAGAAUACAAAAAAAUCAAUUGUUGAAUUCAGAGCGUUUUUUUCUAGGAUUCGGAGGACCAGGAAGGGCAAAAAGACAGUCGAGCGCAUAUUCAAUCCAGAAGUUCAACACGGUUAAAAACUUCUUCAAAAGUGACCAAAAUCAAAAAGUUCAAAUCUUCAAAGUCACUUAGGACCAAAUCCUCAAAACGUACACUAUGGGCAACUCCUGGUUCUUCCAGUACACUCGCCUUUGCAAGAACGGACAUCAAAGACGAACAUUCUUCGUAUGGCGAACAUAUAGCAAUUAGACUACGCAGCCUUCCACCGCGAACAAGGUUUCUGGUUCAGCAAUCCUUCAACCAAAUGCUCUUUGACGCGGAAAAUGGGAUUUACGAACAAGACAGUGUGCCGAAAAAAAGCUGAGCUCUGUUAUCUAUCGUAAUCCACCUCGAACUCGCUAAUGUUAUUGAUUUCGGGUCUCUUGUAUUUCUACAAUGUAAAUAAAAAUUAAUUCUAUUAAAGUUUUUUUUAUCCCA